rnacentral:rRNA from 1 species
CCUACGGGGGGCUGCAGUGAGGAAUAUUGGUCAAUGGUCGGGAGACUGAACCAGCCAAGCCGCGUGAGGGAGGAAGGUACAGAGUAUCGUAAACCUCUUUUGUCAGGGAACAAAGACUGGGACGCGUCCCCGGAUGAGUGUACCUGAAGACAAAGCAUCGGCUAACUCCGUGCCAGCAGCCGGGGUAUUACGGGGGAUGCGAGCGUUAUCCGGAUUUAUUGGGUUUAAGGGGUGGGAGGGCGGUCUGUUAAGUCCGCGGUCAAAGCCCGGGGCUCACCCCCGGCCCGCCGUUGAAACUGGCAGUCGCGAGUUGGAGAGAAGUAUGCGGAAUGCGCGGUGUAGCGGUGAAAUGCGUAGAUAGCGCGCAGAACUCCGAUUGCGAAGGCAGCAUGCCGGCUCCACACUGACGCUGAGGCACGAAAGCGUGGGUAUCGAACAGGAUUAGAUACCCGGGUAGUC